AGCCCAUGGAAACAUGGGGUAAUACCGAAUAUGCUGCAUAAUUUUGUUUAUGUAGAAAAGGAGCGUUUGCUUCGCUUUAGGAUGAGCCUGCGUAUGAUUAGCUAGUUGGUAGGGUAAUGGCCUACCAAGGCGACGAUCAUUAGCCGGCCUGAGAGGGUGACCGGCCACAUUGGGACUGAGACACGGCCCAGACUCCUACGGGAGGCAGCAGCUAAGAAUCUUCCGCAAUGGACGCAAGUCUGACGGAGCGACGCCGCGUGUGCGAAGAAUGUCGAGAGAU
rnacentral:rRNA from 1 species